rnacentral:rRNA from 1 species
AUUGAACGCUGGCGGCAGGCUUAACACAUGCAAGUCGAGCGGGGAAGGGUAGCUUGCUACCUAACCUAGCAGCGGACGGGUGAGUAAUGCUUAGGAAUCUGCCAUUUAGUGGGGGACAACAUUCCGAAAGGAAUGCUAAUACCGCAUACGUCCUACGGGAGAAAGCAGGGGAUCUUCGGACCUUGCGCUAAAUGAUGAGCCUAAGUCGGAUUAGCUAGUUGGUGGGGUAAAGGCCUACCAAGGCGACGAUCUGUAGCGGGUCUGAGAGGAUGAUCCGCCACACUGGGGCUGAGACACGGCCCAGACUCCUACGGGAGGCAGCAGUGGGGAAUAUUGGACAAUGGGCGGAAGCCUGAUCCAGCCAUGCCGCGUGUGUGAAGAAGGCCUUAUGGUUGUAAAGCACUUUAAGCGAGGAGGAGGCUACUUAGAUUAAUACUCUAGGAUAGUGGACGUUACUCGCAGAAUAAGCACCGGCUAACUCUGUGCCAGCCGCCGCAGUAA